rnacentral:rRNA from 1 species
GGGCCCGCACAAGCGGUGGAGCAUGUGGUUUAAUUCGAUGAUACGCGAGGAACCUUACCAGGGCUUAAAUGUAGAGUGACAGGGCUAGAGAUAGCUUUUUCUUCGGACACUUUACAAGGUGCUGCAUGGUUGUCGUCAGCUCGUGCCGUGAGGUGUCAGGUUAAGUCCUAUAACGAGCGCAACCCCUACUGCUAGUUGCUAACAGGUUAAGCUGAGGACUCUAGUGGGACUGCCGGUGCAAACCGCGAGGAAGGUGGGGAUGACGUCAAAUCAUCACGGCCCUUACGUCCUGGGCUACACACGUGCUACAAUGGUAGAGACAAUGAGCAGCCACUGCGUGAGCAGGAGCGAAUCUAUAAACACUGUCCAAGUCCGGAUUGGAGUCUGCAAUUCGACUCCAUGAAGUUGGAAUCGCUAGUAAUCGCUGAUC